rnacentral:rRNA from 1 species
UUAUACAAUUAACAUAAUAUAAUGUUUUUUGGUAUUGAAGUUAACAAUUUAUGGAAUUUAUAUUAAUUAUUUUUAGGUGAAAUUUAAAUAUUUAAUAUAAUUUAUUUGGAUUCUUUUAAAAUUGAAAUAUAAACUGGGAUUAGAUACCCCAUUAUUUUAAUUGUUAAUAAUGUCUUGGGUAGUAAUAGUUAUGUUCUUUAAACCUAAAGGGUUUGGCGGUAUUUUAGUCUAUUUAGAGGAAUUUGCCCUGUUAUUGAUAAUCCCCAUUUUAUCUUACUUAUUUUAGUAUUCAGUUUGUAUACCGCCGUUAUAAGUUUAUUUUUUUAAGAUUUAUUUACAUAAUAAUAUUAUUAAUUAUUUCA